GGCUACAUAGGGUCCAGCUAAGGGGCCAGGAGUCCUCACUGAGACCCUAUCCAAGCUAAGUGUUCCCCGCAUCACGGAAUCUGGAUUUGUGUGAAGCGGGGUGAUUCCCGGGCCAGGAAUUCCUUCCAGCAGGUCCACUGUACCUUCGUCUCGCUUCAGGACCCCCCUUGGAUGCUCUGAGCCACCCUUCUCAACCCGGAUCUAAAACCUGGGACACGGCUAUCAGGCCAGCCUCUCUCUCCCUCCACCCCUCCCCCUCUUUCUGGCGUCCAUCCCCUCCCCAACACCACCUCUGCUGCUGCCUCUGGCUGUGGACCUGCACCUCUUCUCCAUCCUCACCAGGCCCGGAGAGUGGGGUUAGCCUGGAUGAGAGUGUGCCCCUAACCUGGGGCCCUCCCAGGCCAUGGCUCCUGUGUUCCCAGGGAGGAGUCCAGGACCCUGAGCAUCUGCUUGAAGCUUGGCAGAGGCCCCGCUGGGACCGUGUCUUCUGAGGACAAAAGGCUGCGGCCAGCAGGCAGACUGGGUGGGGGGUGGGGGGGGUGGGGGAACCGGUAGCUAGGCAGGCAGAACAGUGGCGGAGCCAGUGCUGGCCCCCUCCCAGACUGGCGGUGGCAUGAAGAUGGGGGUGGGAGUGUGUAGAGGGAGAAGCACCUACCAGGACCCCCACCUGCCCACUACUUGGGCAACCCAAAGCUGUGUGCUGCCCACCUGGUGUUCCCCAACAUCUCCAGCUCUACCAAGUGCACCCCUCUGGCACCUGCUUUCCUUGCUGCCAGCGAUUUAGACCAACCAGGCUGUAUCCACGGCAACAGAAACAAGAGUGUCACUGGCUGCCAGACCAGUGAGGGUCCCAUAAUGUGGCCUGGGCUGUGGUUUAUCCUGGAUGAGACAGAAUGAGCCUCCUUCCUGAAUUCCAAGACAGUCCUGCUAGGAGAACCCAGUCUCUACCUACAGGUAACAUACUUUUGCUCACUCACCCUGGAAGAUGUGUCCCAGCUAGUGGGAGGAAGCUGCUAUAGGAAUAGAGGAAGAUACCCAUAUUGUGUUUGGGACCUCCAGAUCUAUGACACAGUAGCCAGAGGUCCCUGUAUCUGGAGGUGCAGGAAAACCUGGUAUAUGGAGAACAUGGAUUCUACUAGGGACACGGCUCCUAACUACUAGCUCGCAACUUUAGUGGAGGCAUGUCACUUGUUGAACCUUGAUUUUUCCCAUUUGUCAAAGAGACUGGUAACCCUUUCUUCAUGGAUGUGUGCAGGGAUUAAAUAAAUUGGUGCAUGCAAACAAUUAAAUGUGUUUAUAGGAUGGUGCUGAGCAGUGCCAGAGUCAAUAUUAUUGCUGGCUGUUCAUGAUUAGUAUUGCUAUUGAUUAGGGGAAGGAUUAGCGCCUUUUCUCCAGGGUCUCAGCAGAGAUCUAAGGAAGCCAGCAGGUGGGAAAAUGGAAGGUAGCAAGUAGAGGGAAGCAGAACAGCUUUAUGUUAAUACUUCUCAUUUGUAAAGAAUGAUAGAUAGUUGUGGGCAGUCAUCCCUACCCUACUCGGGAUUCUUUCCAUGCACUUCACCUUAUUUGUGUACACACACACACACAGAGAGAGACAGACACACACACACACACACACACACACACACACACACACCACACACACACACACACACACACCAGACUGAGAGCCAGCAGAGGCCUGGCUUGCAGCCUGCAGAAUUCCUGGCCCUGGUAUGUGUCCCUCUGUUGAGGGGAAAUUAGCAAGAGUUUGGCUUAUGGUCAGUUCUUGGCAGGGACUGGAGACAAAGCUGAAGCUUUUGAGAUUAUAGGGCUUUGAGCGAGCUGGGGUGUGGUCCAUGCAGUGGCCAGACCUGUAGCAGAGUUUGCCCAUCUAGACCCUGGGGUGGGGAAAAUAAGGUUUCCUAACUGGUUUCUAGGUAUGGAGCGGUGGGAGAAUACCAAGGGCUUGGGAGUCAGCAGAGGAGCCAAAGGAGGGGAGAGAUUGGAAACAGAGGGACAGGGAGGGCUGGGACCUUUAGAGAUCAGAAUACUUUCCUGAAGAAGCAUUUGUUGUGGAAGGAGAGGAACUAGCCUGUUGCCCAGGGGCAUCUCGACCUGAAACUAAAAGUGUGUGUGUGUGUGUGUGUGUGUGUGUGUGUGUGUGUGUAUACACAUAUGUAUAUAUGAAGAUAAAUGACUGCAUGUCUACUCUGUGUGUACAUAUCUCAUCACUGCGCUGUAGGUGUAUAUGAGUUUAUGUGUGUGUGAACAGGCUAUAUGAUAGCAUAUGGGAUUGUGUGGGUGUCUGAAUUGGUUUGUGUUUGUACUGGAGGGCAUGGCUUUGCAUGUCUAUCUGGGUGAGCAAAUGGUCAUGUUUGAUUCUCACUCAAGUAUUGGCAUGUUUCUCUGAGCUUGUAUUAGGCCUAUUAAAUGUGUGUGUGUGUGUGUGUGUGUGUGUGUGUGUGUGUGUGUGUGUGUUACAUGUCCAAUUCAAUGAAUGCCUAGUUGAAUCUGAUUGUGUAUAUUCCUGUUUUGUCCACAUGUGCCUUUCAGUGUGCAUUCAUCCAAAUGAUUUGUGUGAGUACAAAAAUAGAUAUAUGUGUCCCAUGCAUAUAGGAACGUAUGUGUGUGUGAACAUGCUUAUAUGUGUUGUAGGUGUGUCUCUCAUAUAUUUGUGUGAACAAGCCUAUGUGUAAAAGUCUGUAUAGAUUCUUUAGUAUUUUUCAUUAUGUCUAUGCCUGCAUGUGCAUGCUUGAGUGGCUACUGUCUCUAAACAAGCCUAUGUGUUCAUAGCUAUUUAAAGAAAUGUAAGUAUAAAUAGACACACUGGAAUAAGAGAAGAGUAUAUGAAUGGAAAAUAUUUUAUGUGUGCACAGACUGUGGUGUUUAUAGCAGCUUGUAUUAUAUUCACCCACAAGGCUGUGUGCAUAGGUGAAUGGGUGCAUUUGUAUGAUGUCUAGUUUGGUGUAAGUGCAUAUCAGAUUAUGGUAUGCAUGAGUGUUGCAGGAUACUUGGGUGCAUGUGUCUCAGUAUGUGUUUUAUUUGGAUUUUUAGUGUGACUGUGUAUUUGAAUAUGUCUUGAGUGACUGUGCAUAUAUAUGCUAGUAUUGGUUAGUACCUGACUGUGCAUAUGUUCAAGUGAACACAUCUGUACAUAGGCAUGUGUUGUCAAACACAGUUAAGGGUAUAUUUUUGAAUAAGCCUGUGUGUAUGCCCAUCUGAAUACACAAAUGUGUGAAGUACCAGUUUUCACAGUUUUUAUUUGCAUUUAUAUGUUUGUAUUUAUCUUUGAUCUAAAGCAUGAUUAUAGAAUAAUGUAUAUAAAUCUAUGUGCAUGCUACUCUUAGUUCACAAGUACAUUUAUGUGGGGGGGCAUUUAUGGAUGUCUUUGCAUAUAUGUAUGUGAUAUGUGGAUCAAAUUUUCUUAUGCAGAUCAACAAGUGUGUGUGCAAGAAUACAUGAGUGUACUUCUAUAUGUGCAUGUGUUAAAAUAUGCCCUUAUGUUCUAUUCCAAUAUACAUAUAAGUUACUCUUCUUUCAUUUUGUGGCUUCUCAGAAUGGGUGUGUGGAUGUAACAGUGUAUAUAUACUUGACUGUGAUAGUGUGCUUUAUGAUUAUCUGUGUUUCCGUAUUUAAUUGUAUACCUAUAAGAAUGAGUUAAUGUAUGUACAAGUCUAUAAGCAUGUGAAUAUGCUAUGUGUGUACAUGACCAGUUGUGUAUUCAAGUCUAUAUGUUAGAAUAUCUGCAUAUGUAUACCUCAUCUCAUUUACAAGCAUUUGCAUAUUUGGGUAUGGAUAUGUGUGAGCACACCUAUACAGAUAUGUAUGUAUGUGUGCAUGUGUGUGUGAAUAUACUUCAGUGGUUAUGUUUGAGGGUAUAUAUAUACACACUUGGGAGAUCCCUCUUCUGUACCCAUGUUUCUUUAUCAUCUCUUUAGAUAUGAUACAUAUAUUUUUACAUAUCUCUGUGGAUAUGUAAAAAUACCUUUACAUACCUGUGUCCCCACUUGUGUUUGUGAGUGAAUGCAUGUCAUUCAUGAGUAUAUAUAUCAUGUGAAUAUAGCCUAUUUUAAAGAGUAAAUGGAUGUACUUGCGGCUACGUCCAAUGGAAAUGUGUCUGUGUGUGGAUAAAUAAAGGUAUUUGUACAUCUGCCUGUCUGAUAUGAGAUUUGGCCUUGGUCUUGUACAGAGUGACCUCUACACAAACUUCUUACCCAAAUACACUCAACUUUCAUCUCGUCCACACCAUAUGCAUGCACCCACACUGCACUGCAGUCUCCACAUGCUCACCAAUGACCACAGGGGGCCGUGAUAAAACUUUGAAACAAAACUCUCCCUUCCUUUCUCACCACUGGCAAAGGCACAGGGCAGGAGGGCAUCAUAAUAGUGCCUAGGGUUAGUAGAAGCUUUGGUUGGAGUGUGUGUGUGUGUGUGUGUGUGUGUGUGUGUGUGUGUGUGUGUGUAAAGGAGAGAAAGCGACAGAUAAUAUGAGAAAGUACAA